GGUUAUUGGAGAUCGUAAAGGUGCAGUGUUUGGUGGUUUAGUUGAGGCACCUUUGAAACCAUCAACAAAGAAAAGAUACCAGGGAUCGAAUGAUACAUUUGUGUUUACAAAUACACCAGGGCGUCCUGUUAUAUAUCGCCCCACAGGGGUGAAUCGGUAUUUUACUCUUUGUUCAACUGAGUAUUUAGCGCUUGGUGGGGGAAAUCAUUUUGCAUUGUAUCUCGAUAGUGACUUAUUGAAUGGGUCAAGUUUGGCCUCAGAAACUUAUGGUAACUCUUGUUUGUCACACACCCAAGAAUUUGAAGUGAAGGAAAUUAAGGU